CUUCGGCUCUCAUUUUGAACACCAACAAAAGAGAGAAAAAGAGUAAGAUUUCACAGACAAAGUAUAAGAAAAUAGUCUGUGAAGAAAAUAGAGAGUGAGCCAUAUUGUAGUGAGGUGGAAUAUCAAAAGAGAGUUAUUUCUUUUGAGUGUUGUAGGGGUCUUUGGAGUAUUUUACUCGGACCUACAAAGUGUAAAAAUUCCUUACUAUAGUGAUAUCAGUUGUUCCUCUCAGGGUCGUGAUUUUUUCCCUUAUUCAGAAGGGUUUUCCACGUAAAAAUCGUGGUGUCAUUGUUACUUAUUUAUUCUUGUUAAUUACCGUAUCUCGGUGCUACACUAUUAUUCCGCUUUUAUUACCAUGAAUAUUAUUUUGGUAGGGGGUUUAUUCCCAAC
rnacentral:lncRNA from 1 species